CUGGAAUAUGAUGGCAAAGAAGAUAAUGACAACACAUCUGAAGAUGUAGAGGAUCAUUAUGUUGCUAUGGAAGCCAUCAGGGGAAAAAAUAAGGAAAAACCAGUUUUACCACGGAGAAGUCGACUAUUAUCCGAUGUUUCA